rnacentral:rRNA from 1 species
CCUACGGGAGGCAGCAGUGAGGAAUAUUGGUCAAUGGGCUUACGCCUGAACCAGCCAAGUCGCGUGAGGGAAGACUGCCCUAUGGGUUGUAAACCUCUUUUGUCAGGGAGCAAUUGGCGCUACGUGUAGCGUUAUCGAGAGUACCUGAAGAAAAAGCAUCGGCUAACUCCGUGCCAGCAGCCGCGGUAAUACGGAGGAUGCGAGCGUUAUCCGGAUUUAUUGGGUUUAAAGGGAGCGUAGGCCGGCUUUUAAGUCAGCUGUGAAAGUCCGCGGCUCAACCGUGGAAUUGCAGUUGAAACUGGAGG